GCCGGGUUCAGUGGCGCGCGCCUGUAAUCCAAGCUACUGGGAAGCUGAGACUGAGGAUCGCUUGAGCUCAGGGCUUCUGGCUGCAGUGGACUAUGUUGAUCGGGUGUCCGCGUUAAGUUCGGUAUCAAUAUGGUUCUCCUGAGGGAGCUCGGGACUACCAGGUUGUUUAAGGAGGGGUGAACCGGCCCAGGUCGGCGACGGAGCAGGUCAAAUCCCCCGUGCUGAUCAGUAGUGGGAUCACACCUGAGAAUAGACACUGCAGUGCAGCCUGAGCGACACAGAGAGACGCAGACUUUU
rnacentral:SRP_RNA from 1 species